UACGUAGGCAGCGAGCGCUGUUCGGAAUUACUGGGCGUAAAGAGUGUGUAGGCGGUGCUCUAAGUUCGGUGUGAAAUCUCCUGGCUCAACUGGGAGGGUGCGCCGGAAACUGGAGUGCUUGAGCGUGGGAGAGGAAAGCGGAAUUCCUGGUGUAGCGGUGAAAUGCGUAGAUAUCAGGAGGAACACCUGUGGUGUAGACGGCUUUCUGGACCAUAGCUGACGCUGAGACACGAAAGCGUGGGUAGCAAACAGG
rnacentral:rRNA from 1 species